GGGUCUGUAGCUCAGCUGGUUAGAGCACCGUCUUGAUAAGGCGGGGGUCGUUGGUUCUGAGCCCAACCAGACCCACCA
rnacentral:tRNA from 1 species